rnacentral:snoRNA from 1 species
UAUUGCGGCUGGCCGAGCUGGCUGGUUAAAGAACUCAACCAGACAGUAAAGUAAAACAGCCGCAUAGAUUAAACGGGAACUUAUAACCAGCUCUUGACUGUCCUAGCAUUGGCGGUGCGGGAUAGAAUCGUUCCUUACAUCA